UUAUAAAAAGCAUAAGUGCAUAUAGUUUCGACCUAUAUUAGGGGAUAACCCUUUAUUUA
rnacentral:tRNA from 1 species